AUGGCAAGCAUAUCUGAAGACUCUGGUGAAGAAACACCACUACAGGUGGCACCACUACAUAUUUUUGUCAGGCUCGCCUUUUCGAUGCGCAAAAUGAAGAGCGAUAAAGUUCUGGUCAGGAGACUUUCUGCAUGCGAGACAAUGGGUUCUGCAACAACAAUUUGCAGUGACAAGACUGGAACAUUAACUUUAAAUCAGAAGGAAUUGAUCAGAAUACAUCUGUAA
rnacentral:rRNA from 1 species